GCGAUGUUAGUUUAGUGGUAGAAUUGUAGCUUCCCAUGCUUCAGGCUCGGGGUAAGUCCAUACUAUACUUAGGCAGUUGUGUGGAUUAUGUCCUAACAGACCAUUAGUUCGAUUCCCGGACAUCGCA